rnacentral:rRNA from 1 species
GUGAGUAAUGCAUAGGAAUCUGCCCGGUAGUGGGGGAUAACCUGGGGAAACCCAGGCUAAUACCGCAUACGUCCUACGGGAGAAAGGGGGCUCCGGCUCCCGCUAUUGGAUGAGCCUAUGUCGGAUUAGCUAGUUGGUGAGGUAAUGGCUCACCAAGGCGACGAUCCGUAGCUGGUCUGAGAGGAUGAUCAGCCACAUCGGGACUGAGACACGGCCCGAACUCCUACGGGAGGCAGCAGUGGGGAAUAUUGGACAAUGGGCGAAAGCCUGAUCCAGCCAUGCCGCGUGUGUGAAGAAGGCCCUCGGGUUGUAAAGCACUUUCAGCGAGGAAGAACGCCUAGUGGUUAAUACCCACUAGGAAAGACAUCACUCGCAGAAGAAGCACCGGCUGCCAUAACUCCGGCAGCCGCGGUAAUACGGAGGGUGCAAGCGUUAAUCGGAAUUACUGGGCGUAAAGCGCGCGUAGGUGGCUUGAUAAGCCGGUUGUGAAAGCCCCGGGCUCAACCUGGGAACGGCAUCCGGAACUGUCAAGCUAGAGUGCAGGAGAGGAAGGUAGAAUUCCCGGUGUAGCGGUGAAAUGCGUAGAGAUCGGGAGGAAUACCAGUGGCGAAGGCGGCCUUCUGGACUGACACUGACACUGAGGUGCGAAAGCGUGGGUAGCAAACAGGAUUAGAUACCCUGGUAGUCCACGCCGUAAACGAUGUCGACCAGCCGUUGGGUGCCUAGCGCACUUUGUGGCGAAGUUAACGCGAUAAG